CUCAUAUAAAAACCACAAUUGGUGAUGAUGGUGUGCCUGCCAACUUUGAUUCACAAUCGUUCGAUUCAUAUCCAACGUCCAGGAAGCAACCCAUGGCAAUUUUACAAAGACACCCACUAUUCUGUUACAUAUUUGCAAAUAUGCCCUUGUCUCUCUCUUCAAGCCUAUCCCCCUGGCGCUCUCCCCCAACCUCAUCCAACCAGUAGCACCGGCAGCGUCGGAGCCGAUAUGGCGUGGUGGCCGCCAGCGGUGCCGUCCGCCUCGGAGCCUCUCAUGCCUCCCUCAACUCCACCGGCCACCACAACCCCCCCCCCCCCCCCGCCCCCCUUCUCCAUCUCCUCCGUUGCCGACAUCUGCAGGCACACCGGCGGCGCCGUCCCUCCGCAGGCGCCUCUCCCGCCUCCUUCUCUUCCAGAGAAGUGCCGCCGCACAGCAGCACCACCACUUCCCCUUCCUCCUUGCCAUCGCCUCCGCCCCCUCCUCCGUAUCCUCCCACGCCGGCCUCGGCAGGCACGCCGGCGGCGCCGUCCCUUCGCCGGCGCAUCUGACUCCAUUGCCAGCUCAGGGCCCCCACCCAGCAUCACCACCACCUCUUCCUCCUCUUCCCCAUCCCCUCCGCCUCCUCCCCGAUGCUGAACUCCGCAAGUACGCCGGCGGCGCCGUCCGUGCCCCGAGGCUUCUUCUGGCUCCUCCCCCCUACUGCAGAAGCCCGCUCGCCCACCCCCCGCCCCCUCUCCUCAUCGCCGUCUUCUCCGCUCUCCCCCUUCUCUAAACUCUGACCUCCACAAAUACGUCGCCGGCUACAGGCUGCUGAUCCUCGGCGGCGGCGGCACCGCCACCUAAUGCUACUUCUCCUCCCCGCCGACGCACUCCACUGCCUGUUCUGGUGCUAUGGUCGGCUACCGCCUCUCUUUCCCAGACCUCAUCGUUCCCACCCUGCCGCCUCCCAAAUUCAAAUUUUUGUCACCCAAAUGCGCGCGCCUGGUCGAACUGUCUAGAAACCACCCUUUCAGCCCAAUAUAAAUACAAGUGAGCAGGCAGAUGAGACUCACACUGCUCGAACUACAUCCCAAGAAGCAACACGGUGGUCAAGCUCUCAUAUCUUCAAAUCGUCAGAUUGUGAGGAGGUCGAUUUACUGCCCAUCGCCUUCUAAUUUGCUUCGCCAAGGACCAAGGUCCAGAAGAAAUUUGAUAAGCCUAGAAGUUCCUGGAGAAACACUUGGAUUUGGGUGUGAAGCUGAAAAUUAAAAGCUAUUACACCCCAAAUGUUACAGCUCUCGUGCCAACAAAGUGCUAAAGGAAAACAAAAAGUGGUCGACAGCAGUAGCAAGCCCAACAGAACUUGCUCCAAUGGCAUGCCAUGUGCUCGAACAGGUUUAUUUAUACGUGAACCAACGGAUGCGACAAAUUUAAGUUACUCAUCUUCAGAUGAUGAAGUGACAAACCAAUCAGCGACGGUGAUUUUUCCUACUUAUACUGGUAUGCUCACAUCAAUCGACGGAUUGGAGCGAGGAGAAAGCUCAAAAGGGCGAAAGCAUGCACGUGAAGCAAUAAGAUAUGCUAGCCGUACACCAGAGCAAAUCCAAGCAAGGCGAGAACGUGUUAGAGCACGUCGGCAAAAUUUGACACCUAAGGAGAAGGAAGAGAUUAAUGCACGAAGAAGAGAGAAACGACAACGUAUGACACUUGAAGAGAGAAAUGCAAGCUAGCGAGCACGUAGGCAAAGUUUGACACUAGAGGAGAGGCAAGAAAGAAAUGCACGCCAACGAGCGCGUCGGCAAAGCCUGCCACCGGAAGAGCGGCGGGCACUUCUAGCUCAACGUAGUGCAAGUUAUGCAUCUAGACGAGAUACCCCAUGCAUGGAUUCCAUUGUAUCAAAUUGCCCUACAGGUUCAUUGCUGGGACAUGCAUCAUCAAGCUCUUAUGCCUUUAGUUACCCAAGCACACUGACUCAAACUUUUUCUACAAUUCAAGGUAAUCUAGAAAGCAUACCUGAAGGAAUGGAAGAUGAUCACAUAGUUUUCACUAGCAAAGGUGACGCUAAUACUGUCCAGUGCAAGGAACUCACAUCGGUGCAAUGUCCAACAUCUACAUCAUUGGACAGUUCAUCAUUGGCCCCUGAUGACUCCAUAUGCCCAGGUUCCCCAACGGAAAGCUUUAAUGUGGAUGAUGAUUUUUCUCAUAUGACCGAAGAAGAAGAUGAUGAGUACUUCGCAUUUGCUGGGAGAGGGAACACUGAAGAUUGCGAUGACAUGGUAGAUGCUUUUACAACAGACAACAUUGUUCCUGACCCAUAUGACUGUGUUUACCAGAAUAUACCAAAAAGUACUCACACGCUGGUGCCAAAGCCUGAUUGCAAGCAUUGCGGUGCAAAGAGGUUCCAGUAUGAGACAAAUGGAUUUUGUUGCCAGUCUGGAAAAAUCAAGUUAGCACAGUCAGAACCACCCUUGGAACUUCAGAUGUUGUACACAAGUUCAGAUAGUGAUGCUGUACAUUUUAGGGAUAACAUUCGCUACUUCAAUGGCCACUUUUCAUUCACCACUCUUGGAGUCAGUCUUGACAAUAGAUACACAAACAUGAGGUCAGGAGUCUAUACAUUCCGAGCCCAUGGUCAGAUUUACCACAACAUCUUCUCAUUUGGUCCAACACAAGAUGGACCUAAGCAUCUAGAGUUAUACUUCUACGAUGAUGACCCGAGUCUACAACAUAGGUUUCGGCGCUCCCCGAACCUAGACCGAGAUGUCAUUUGAAGGCUUGUCAACAUCCUUAAGGAUAAUCCUUAUUCUGAAACAUUCAGGAAUCUAGGUGGAGUCGAUGACCUUGAGGAUUAUCGUAUUGAACUGAACACCGACAUGAGGUUGGACCAACGGAGAUAUAACUUGCCUAUAUCAUCAGAGGUUGCAGCUAUUUGGGUUGAGGGUAAUGAACUAUGUAAGCAUUUUGACCGUAGCAUUGUCCUGUUUGGUAAUGACAACAAGAGAUAUAGCAUCCAACCAUAUUAUGGAUGCUAUGAUCCAUUGUCUUACCCUUUGUUCUUCCCAAGAGGGGAGAUUGGUUGGCAUCCUGAGAUCCCAAAGAACGGUGUCAGCUUGAAUGAGAUACUUCAAUCCCGCCGCAGUGGUCGAAAGAAACCAGGUACAUGUACAAGUAGUCGAUUAUGUGUCUCGGUCAGAGACUACUAUUGUUACAAGUUUCAAAUACGUCGUGGUGUAUUUAACACCAUGCUAUACGGUAAACGACUGUUCCAACAAUAUGUGGUCGACAUGUACAUCAAGGUUGAAACCUCUAGGUUAGACUAUAUAAGAAAUCACCAGAAACAAAUACGCUCUGAUCUAUACCAAGGUGUUGUUGAUAGCCUUCAAGCUGGGGAAAACCGUGCGGAUGCUGUGGGCAAAUGGAUUGUACUUCCUACAUCAUUUAUUGGGGGAAGAAGAGAUAGGAGACGAAGAUACCUUGAUGCCAU